CAUUAACCUUGCUCUUGAUGCCGUCUGAGACUCUGUGAUGUGGCUAAGCGAGGGAGUUGUGAGCCUCCAGCAGGGGUAACUUAUUCUAUGUCUUCUUUCCAGGUAUGUGAAGCAAGGAGUUUGAGAUUCUUAUGCCACAAGAGUGAAACUCCAGAAGGCUACGCCAGGCCCUGGCAAAAUCGGCUACUAAGUCUGCUGCGGGAGCGGGCAGAGCUCGAGGCAUCCGGCCGUUCUUGGUUCGCCAUAACUUUAGCCAUUGGGUCCAUCUCUGGGCAGUUCAGACAAUGAGGCUGACUUUGUUUACCUGCCUGCACCAUAUUCAACAGAUGAUCUAUCUAAUGUGUUUUUACUCCUUAAACAUAGCUCUUCUAUAAAUUAAAGUGCUUUUAUGGAAAUAUUUGUAAUUACUUAUAUAUAGUUGGAGGUCAUAAUAAGCUUUCCCAUCAUAAUAUAUUUUUGUAUACAAAUAAAAUUUAAACUGGGAUCUGUA
rnacentral:lncRNA from 1 species